rnacentral:rRNA from 1 species
UACGGGGGGGGCAAGCGUUGUUCGGAAUUACUGGGCGUAAAGGGCUCGUAGGUGGCCAACUAAGUCAGACGUGAAAUCCCUCGGCUUAACCGGGGAACUGCGUCUGAUACUGGAUGGCUAGAGAUUGGGAGAGGGAUGCGGAAUUCCUGGUGUAGCGGUGAAAUGCGCAGAUAUCAGGAAGAACACCUAUGGCGAAGGCAGCUCUCUGGGACGGUACUGACGCUGAGACGCGAAAGCGUGGGGAGCGAACAGG